CGAAAAUUACCCUGAAGAUGGCUACCUACUAUGCUAAUAUCUUUUUUAGCAGCGUGUAGUCUUGUUAAUCCUGCUAAGCUUCAUUAAAUAGAAAAUGUCGAAUUUUUUUUCAUCAGUAGCAAGUAAUCUACGAGCAGCAAAGAAACGGUAUUGGGAUGCAGAUCCCGGUGUAAAUUCAGAGGUUAAAAGCGAGUCCAUUGUUACUAUGAAUGGAGAUAAACCACAAGUUAAAUUAGAAGCGCUUGGGAAAAUACUGCAAAAAUAUGAAGACCAACCCGUUGCCAUUAUCAGCGUAUUUGGCGAUUUUCGCGGUGGAAAGUCAUUUCUGUUGAACCUAUUGUGUCAAUAUCUAAUGCAAAAACAACCGAAAGACUGGAUUAAAAAGAAAGAAGAAUUGGUUAAAGUAUUCAACUGGAGAGCGGGAACCAAAAGUCAUACCACAGGAAUUGAUAUCACUAACAAACCUUUCAUGUUGGAGAAUGAUAAAGGAGAGGAAAUAGCUGUGUUCUUGAUGGACACUCAAGGAUCUUUUGAUAAAAAAAUGAGUGCAGGAGAAUGUUCAUUAAUAUUUGCAUUGAGCAUUUUGAUAAGUUCGGUCCAAAUCUACAACUUGCCAUCAGGAUUAAUAAGAGAGAGUGAUUUACAACAAUUAGGGCUGUUUUUAAAACAUGCUAAUACCACUGUAAAGAACAAAGACAGCAAUGCUUCUAAAUCUUCCUCACUUUUCCCGCCUCUUAUGUUUCUGGUUCGGAACUAUCAGAUGCCAGAUUAUGAUUGUGGCAGCAAAGGUGGGAUGGAAUAUUUAGAAGAAGUCAUGAAAGCGGAUCAAGAUGAAAACAAAGAUGUUCGGAAGAAGAUAAAGGAAGGUUUCCCUGAUGUUCAAUGCCAUUUGCUGCCGGAUCCUGGGAAUAAAGUUAAAAACCAAAAGGGUAGUGACACUUCUCAACUUAGACUUACAGAUAUAGAUGAAGGCUUUCUUGUUGGAGUGGAUGAUUUGGCCAAGUGUUUAUUUUCUCAAGAUAGUUUGGUUGUAAAGCAACUUAAUGGUAAAGCUUGCACUGGUAAAGUUCUUAUGCAGCUUGCGGGGGGACUUGAUAACAUGAUUAAAAAUGAUCAAACACCCAAAGUUCACACAUUAUUAAAGGUCAAUGAAAUUGUUGAAUUUUAUAAGAAAAUUGGUGAAUUUGAAAAGGAAUAUGUUGCAACAAUGAAUUCCAUGGGGGAAAAGUACAUUGACCCAAAGAUAUUGAAAACAUUCCACGACGAAUGUUUCCAGAAAGCAAUGCAGCAAUACGAGGAACAUGAUGUGUUUGAACCAGAUGAGAGUUUAAAGCAAUGUGAAGAAUUAAAGAGAAGAUUGAAUGGUAGUUAUGCGAUUAUAAAACAGGAUAACGAAGCACGUAAGGUACGGGAACAAAACAAAAUAAUGGAUAAAGUUGGUGUUGCUGGGAAUGUUUAUUUUAAGGAAAUGGAAAAGUUUGCAGGGGGACAACAUUUGGAAGAUGUUAUUACAGCAAAGGCAGAAGCUGAAGAAAAAGCAAAAAGUUAAAUAAUAUAUACAAGUAGUAAAUUUUCUCCUACGCCAAUUUACUGUUAAAUUUUAUUUAUAGGAAAGUAAGAAGGAAGAAACGGUUGAAUAUUUACAGGCAGCACAUCAACAAGCACGUGGAAGUUGUUUGGAAAAAUUCAAUGGUUCAGAAAUAGGGAAGGGGUAUAAGUGUAAAGAACAACAACUAAAAUGUUUCGAAGAUGGGAUUAGUGAAUGUUUUCAAGGAUAUGAAAAUGGAAUAUUGCAAAAAGCUAUGGAGGAAAAACGACAAAAAAAUGAGAAAGAAAAACAGCAUCUGUUUUCAGAACGCAAACUGGAGGCAAGAAAGUAUGAGGAUGCAUUUAAAGUAAAUCUAAUAAUUUACCCAGAGUCUUUUUAAACUUAUGUGAAGUUUUAUAUACUGCAUUACAUUAUUUUCAAAUUACAGUUUGUGUGUUUCAGAACUUUAAAGAAAAAUAUGUAGAAGAAGAUAAACUUGACAAAAUCCACGAGACAAACAAACAACAAGCAUUGAAAGCAUUUGAUGCAAAUAGAAAUAACGUUUCAACUGAAGCUUUAAAAAGUUUUUCAGAAAAUAAAAAUGCACUUGAAAGAGAUAUUGAAGAUACUUUUGUUUAUAUAAAAGGAGUAAACAAAGAAAAUGAGG